CUUUGCUUUCUCCCUCAUUUUCUGUUUUCUUUUUCUUUUUUUUUUUCUUGAUUUCAGCCCUUCUGCACUUGGCACCCAACUCCCAGGAAGCUAAGUUAUUCCAAGGAUAUCAAAAGCUGACAGAGAAGCAUUCCACAUCCCCACCUGCGAGUGGUAACUUAUACCUCAUCUCUCUUUACUAUUACCACAUACCAUCUCAUUCUCAUUUUUUAUGAUUUCCGAACAUCUCCAAAUAUAUAUAUUAAAAAAAAACUUAGAAAAAACCAUAUAGGACACAUAUUCAUGUUCAACACAGUGAUACAGAUAAAUAUAUCUAUGUACGUAGGUAACUCCACAAGCAGUGCUGCAGAGAAGAGUGAUGGAGGAAUGGGAAAGAAGCGCGUGGGAGUAGUAGAGAUAGCUAUCGGAUUUUCACUAUGGGUUUUCAACAUACACCAAAACUCUGUUGUGUGAAUGAUAGAAGUUUACACACAGCUGCGGCUAUGUUUGUUAUAUCCAUAAUUUAAGAGUUUGGACCAGGAUCCAGUUAUGUUUUUAUCUUAAAAUCCUUUUUAGUUUGUCUUUGAUUUUUUUUUUUUUUGCAAUUAUAUAUUCUUAUAUUUAAUGUGUUGAUAUUCAUGGUGAGUAAGCACAUCAUUUUAUGAUAUGAAAAAGUUUUUUGGUUUGCACUUUUUAACUUUUAUUUGAACAGAGGUUGAGAGAGAACAAAAAUGGUAGAAGAUUAUUUUAUUUCAACUUCUAUUAUAACAGAGAAUGGAACAGAAAUCACGAUUCACAAAUCUUACACCUGCAGGUUGAACCUAUAUUAUUAUAAAUUACUUCAACAAAAUAUCUCACAAUAUAAUGAAUAAAACUUUCCAAGAAAUACCUAAAAAGAGUGUCAUAUAUAAUAGGAAAAUAAAGCACAAAAAGCUGAUCAAAGACAUUCCGAAACUGCACUCCAAGUGACAUCACGUUGUUGCCUAUUUAUAAGUUCAUUUUGUUGUUCAUCCAACCAAUUUUGAUAAGCAUCUAUCAUUGUUGAGUAUGAUUCCUAUUUUAGUUAAAUUUGAAAAAUAAUCUUUCAGUUAAAUUUUGUUUAUUUGUUUUAAUCAAAUUUUGAUUAGUCUAAAUUAUUUUAUUAUUAUUUGACCUAUGAAUUUAGCCUAUAAAUAGGUUUUUUUUAUAACCUUAAAAAAACACCCGUUAGAUAUUAGAACUCAAAACACUUUUAGAGAAUUUUGUGUUUAUGUCUUGAGGGUUCUUUGUUUUUUUGGGUUUCGGGGUUUAAUUUUUAUCUCCAUCUUUGUACUCUUCGUUCUUUUAUCAUUAUAGUAAAAUUAUCUUUGUCCAUAGGCUUUUAUCCUCUUUGGAGAGGUUUUUCUACGUUAAAUUUGUAUGUUCAAUUUCUCAAUUUCUUUCACUAUUUUUGCUUGUUCGCUGCUUAAUCGAGUCAAUCCUCAACAACUGGUAUCAGAACUAAUUUAAUUUUCAUAAAUUAGUCCGUUUAGAGAUGGCAACAACAAAGUUUGACAUUGAGAAGUUCGAUGGUGUCACAAAUUUCAAUUUGUGGCAAGUUUGGAUGAUGGUAAUUUUAGUUCAAACUAACUUGAAAAAGGUCGUUAUUGGGAAAAAGCUCAAGAAUCUAAAUCAAUCAGAAUGGGAAGAGCUUGAUGAAAAGGCCUUGUCUACAAUCCAGUUGUGCCUUGUGAAUAGGGUAUUGCAAGAGGUAUUGAUGGAGAAGACCUCAUCCGCCUUGUGAAAAAGGUUAGAAACUCUUUAUGGGACUAAGUCUCUGGCUAACUGUUAGGGUUGAAACAAUAUUUAUUUACGUUUCGCAUGAACGAAUGUGAGCUUCUUAGAGAACACAUCAGUCAAUUCAUUACCCUUUUAAAUGAUUUAAAUAACAUUGAGGUCCAGAUUAACAAUAAAGAUCAGGCUAUGCUAUUAUUAUGUUCUUUACCCCCUUCAUACAAGUUUUUCAGGGAUAUCCUGAUUUUUGACAGAGACAAACUCUCGUUCGAGGAUAUGAAGGGUCAUUUUUUAAGUAAAGACAAACUCGACAAUGAGUUUGGUUCGGAUAGCAAGGCAGAUAGACAAGCUUUUGUUUUGGUAGCAUCAAAGAAGCGAGACUAAAGGUGUCGCUAUUAUAAGAAGUUAGGUCACGUUAGGUCACGUCAAAGCAUAUUGUUAUAAACUGUGAAAUAAAAGGGCUGUUAAGAGUAACAAGGAAAAUGUAGCUGGUGCUAAUUUGGUCGACGAAAGCGAUGAUGAUUUCUUGCUAGUGUCAAUGAGAGAAAGCUUAAGUCCGAGUGGAUCCUAGAUUCAGGAUGUUCUUUCCACAUGUGUCCCAAUAGAGAAUGGUUCUCCACGUACAAUUCUGUUGAAGAUGGAGUUGUGCACAUAGGAAACGAUUCAUCCAAUAAGGUAAUUGGUAUUGGUACUGUUAAAAUUAGGAUGUAUGAUGGGACGGUUAGGAAACUCUCAGAUAUCAGGUAUAUACCUAAUUUACGAAAGAAUCUCAUUUCAUUGAGUAUUUUAGACUCAAAAGAUUGCAGAAUCAACAUCGAGUCGAGCAGCAUUAAGGUGUCUCGUGGGGCUCUCAUUUUGUUAAAAGGUAAAAGAACCGGUAGUCCUUAUAUUUUGGAAGGUUCUAUAGUGACCGGUGAAAUCGGACGUCUUUCGUCCGUUAUGGGGUUGAAUUCAACUCGUUUGGAGUGGAGACAACUUGGUCGUAGGAGGGAAAAAUAUUUGACCGUUUCAUUGAAGAAAGGUUCUCUUUUGGAUGCAAGUUUUGAAAAGUUAGGGCACUAUGUUCGUGAAAAUCAAACCCGGGUUAGUUUUAAUUUAGCAGUGUACAAGUUGAAGGCUAGAAGUCUUCCAAUUUCUAAGCACAGAUUUGACUCAGUUAAUUCCCUGCAUAGUUCAAUAUAAGCCCGUGGCAGGUUUUGGCAAAGAUGACGUUGUGGAAAUAUGAGUCAAUGUGGAGAUUUGUUGAGUAUGACUCCUAUUUUAGUCAAAUUUGAGAAAUAAUCUUCCAGAUAAACUCUGAUUAUUUGUUUCAAUCAAAUUUUGAUUAGUCUAGAUUAUUUUAUUAUUGUUUAACCUAUGAAUUUAGCCUAUAAAUAAGCUUUUUUACAACAUUAAAAUAACAGCUAUUAGAGAUUAGAACUCAUAACACUUUUGGAGAAUUUUAUGUUUACGUUUUGAGUGUUCUUUAUGUUUUUCGUGUUUCGGGGUUUAGUUUUUAUCUCCAUCUUUGUACUAUUCGUUCUUUUGCCAUUAUAAUAAAAUUAUCUUUUACCUACGGUUUUUUAUCCUCUUUGGAUAGGUUUUUCCACGUUAAAUUUGUGUGCUCAAUUUCUUCUGCUAUUUUUACUUAUUCAUUACUUAAUUGGGUCGAUCCCUAACAAUCAUAAUAUUGAAUGUUGGUUUUAUCUUUUAAAAUUAUCUUGAAUAAUUAUCUCAUAAAAGCUUUCAUAAGAAUAAGGUUAAUAAUCUUCAACAUUUUAAACUUCUUCCUUCUCCUCCAAAUGAGUCGAUUGAAAGAUGAUGAUCAUAACAUGCAUUAACAUGAAAUUAUUUUCUUAUUUGCUACUCAACAAUAUUAAGUCAUAAGUUGUAAAGUCAAACAUGUCAAUUCAAAAACAUUGACUACACAAUACUAUUGUUAUAUGUGUUGUUCAAACAUGAAGAGAUGCGGUCCAAGUUCUGCCAUGAUAUAUCAUCAUUAUAUAAUUAAAAUCACUUAAAUUUGUAUUUAAUGAUUAUGAUCAUUUUAUUUACCGAUAAUACAUAGUAGAUUAAAAUAAGCUUUAAGUUUAAUUUUUAACAUUUGGAAUUUAAUUUUAUUAUUUUUUAUUUAUAAGAAUUUAAAUUUUUUUACUUUUUAAAUCUAGUUGUUAAAAUUUUCCUGUUAAAUUCACUUAGAAAUCACAUAAUAAAAAAAAUAAGUUUGUAAUAAAUCUAAAUAAAAAAUAAAAUUUCAAUGAUGCUAACAAUCCAACAUAUAUUUUUAAAAUAGAGAUUAAAUUCAAAAGUAGAAAUGUUUAAAAGCAUAUUUUAAGCAAGAUAGAAUUAUAAUUUCGUGUUCAUCCCGGCUCUCAAAGGAAAUCCAGGGACCCACAUGGAUUAAUUGGUAUGGUUGGCUGGAUAAUAGAUCAAAAUCAAUGAAGAUGAGACAUUUAAAUUCCAAUUAAUACGACAGCGUGGUGGUAGGUCUACCGGAAUUUAUUUAUUUUUAUUGUUUUGUUCCAAAUGGUGUUCACUGAGCUGAGCAUUCGAUUCAACUUGAAAACGUUUAGAAUUCGUUGUGUUGAGAAAUUUUAUUAUUUUUAAUUAAAUUCAAGUUAACUUCAAUAAAAUUUAAAAUUUUUUUAAAUAUAUUAUAAAACAAGCCAUUUAAAAUCUUAUCAGAAAUUUAAUAAUCUGUUGGGUUGGACCAUUAACUUUUCAACUUGUUUUAAUUAUUGAUUAGCUAGAAACUAAUUAUAUUUUAUACUUUUUACUUUGUAAUAAAGAGACUUAUUUUAAAAAUAUUUUAUUUUUAUAAUAAUUUUUACUCAUAUUUUUAAUUAUACAUUUUAAUUUAUAUAAAUUAUUUUACAACACAUAUAUUAAAAUAUAUAUUUUUAAUCAUAUUAUGACUCUAACAACCAAACCUCCAUGUUUAGCCAUUGUAAAGUAAUACACUAACCCAACAAUUAAUGAGUUUCUGACUUCAUUAAAAUUCCACACACACAAAAAAGUUAAAUCAUAAUUAAUUAUUCAAAUUAUUUGAAUAAUUCAAAUUAUAUAAUUAGAAAAUAUUUAGUAUACACACAAAUAAAAUAAAGAGGUAGAUAAAUGUCGUAUAAGAUAUAGUAAAUUAUUAAAAACAUAUAUUUAAAAAACAUUCAUUUUUUAAAAUUAUGUGUAGAAUAAAAAAAAAUAUACCAAAUAUUUUCCCUUUCUUUAAAUUAAUGAAAAAACUUAAUAAUUUAAACUAUUUAAUUUAAAGUUUUAAUCAAAAUAAUGAAAUCAAGUAAAGAUUUUGCUCACGCUGAAUAAUAUUGUGCAAGGUUGUAGCAUUUUUCAAACAUCUUUAAAUUUUAAUGUAGUAGAAGAAAAUGACGUGUAAAAAAGCCUGGUAGGGCAUUGAGAGCCGGCCAUUACAAUUACAUUUGCCUACUUGCGUGAUAAGCAUAAACAACUAAAAUACGAACAACACAUGAACAUGGAAAAAAAUAAGUACCAUAGAAAUUUUAGUGCUCUAUAUAGUUGUUAAUAAAUCUUACAAUUGGAUAUAAAAUAACAAUAUAAAGAGAAAAAAGAAAAAAGAAAAAAACCCUUGAAAGGAUGAUUGAAGGUUAUGGAGCUAAGUCCCGUUUGUCUGAUGAUCAGUUUACCAAAAAAGUACGUCUUAACGAUAAGGAUAUUGAUUCAGAUUUAGUUUUGGCCGUCGACUUGGUGGUUGAACCAACGAUAUCUUGGAAAGAUAAAUUGGUGAGUAAAGGCCUUGGUGGUUCGAGGGGGGAGAUCGAAGCGUUAUGAGCGAAAUUGGAAGAGGAGUUUGAUUUUCAAGAGGGAGAUAUCACAAGCUUGAUUGUGAAUAGUAUCCCUUUGGUUGUUUAAUUGGAGAGAGUCCAUUUUUUUAUCAAAGACAUGGUUAAUAUAGUGCUCAUCAAACUAGUGGGUAGGACCACAGGGUUUGUUGCUUUGCAGAACAAAAUCUACAACAUGUGGAAGCUUUUUAUGUUGAUCAAAACGAUAGAAACUAAAAAUGGUUAACUUUUUAUUAGAUUCCAAAGCAAGGAGGACUAUGAAAGAGUGCUUUCACAAGGGUUGUGGAUCAUUUUUUGUUCAGUACCUGACGGUACAACCGUGGUUCUUGGAGUUUAACCCUACACAGCCAUUCCCAAGCGUUGUCAUGGCUUGGAUCCGCUUUCCAGGGUAUAUGUACAAAUAAAAGGUAUUAUGGGAGAUUAGAGAGAUGGUGGGAAAAGUGAC
rnacentral:lncRNA from 1 species